rnacentral:antisense_RNA from 1 species
UUUUGCAUUAGGUUUAUUAUCAACAAUCGCGUUACCCACCGCAUGCAGCAAGUGUGUUUUACCAAGACCCGUCCCGCCAUA